AAAAGAGAGAGCAAUCUGACUGUGACAUCUGUCACCCCAUUGAUCACCAGGGUUGAUUCGGCUGAUCUGGCUGGCUAGGCGGGUAUCCCCUUCCUCCCUCACCACUCCAUGUGUGUCCCUCCCAAAGCUGCACACUCGGUCAAAGAGGACAGCCUUCCCUGAACAGAGUGACCAGUCUUCAGUUGAGGGUAUAUGAGUAGCUGCGCUCCUCUGCUAGAACCUCCAAACAAGCUCUCAAAGUCCAAAAACCUCCCUACCUAUUGUUUAUUCUCCACAGUCUGUGAUUUAUAUUCCAAUCAAAUAGAACUCU
rnacentral:snRNA from 1 species